ACCCAAAGCCCAACAUUGAAACACAUGUAGUCCUUAAAUCCUUUGCUGGUGUUCUUGGCUUUUGUCCCUGCCCUUGCAGUAGCCGCCCUAUCCUGCCUGGGUUUUCAUCUUUCCAACUACAGCCUCUUUCUCCCAAAAUCCACAUGUUUUGUCUGUUUUCUAAUCUUGGCUUCUGUUUGAAACGAACUGCAAGCCUUUAAACAUGUCUGUGGGUUCCCUCCACCUCCAUAGAUUCGGAAGCAAUUGGUCUUUCGUGAUGUCUGGGCUUCGAAAGUUUUUUUGUGUGCGUUUAUUUUUGUUUUUUGUUUAGUAACCUAGCUAUUCUCACGCACAAGUCACGGAAAAAUUAACUGUUAAAAGCGUCUAUUUUUGUGACCCUACCUAAACAUCGUUUUGCAGCUUCAUCUCUCGCAGGUGUAACAGAUGCUCAUGCUGAUCGUAAGGCCCAAGGAGACUUUUCAGCACAGCCUCUGAAGCAGUGGCAUUGGCAGCAUCUCCUCUGCUCUCUGGGAACCAGUUGGCAACCUCUGGAAGCAUUUUUCAUUGUCAGUGUUUCCUGAGCCUUAUAUGUUUGGAGUGUUUGCUAUAAACUGGGACUGGGCUCCACAACUCUAUGGACUGGUUGUAAGUUUCCAUAGGUGGUCUCCUCUGUUGUAACAAGAAGUUUCCUUGACCUGUGGGUCAUUUUAAUAACAUAAAAUUAAUUUGUCUGUCUUUCUUUUUGGGCUGGAGCCUUAUACAGACUUAGUGCAUGUUCUACCACUGAGCUGUGCCCCAGAGAGAAGAUUGCUGUUGUUGUUUCUGUUGUUUUGAGACAAGGCCUCAUGUCUCCAAGGCUGACCUUGAACUUAGUACAUACCUCGAUGGUCUUCUUUAUCAACUCUGCUAUACUUGGAAUUAACUAAAACCCAAAAAUGGAGGUGCAUACCUAUGAGGGACUUUUGCUUAAUUUGAAAUGGGAAGAUCCACUUCUAAUCAAGAUAUUUAAGGUGGGAAAUUCCACCUUUAGGCUAUGCCUUCUGCUGGCAGCCUAUAUGAACAUAGACAUAGAAGAAGGAAGCUUGCUUUUUGCCUGCUUCCUCUCACUCUUGCUGGCAAAUCCAUUCCUUCACUAGCAUUAGAGCCUUCUUCUUUGGAAUUCUGACAUAUACUCAAGACCAGCUGACAUAUCCACCCUUGUGCACUGAACAACUUCUAGAUUCUUGGACCUUUUGGUAGUAGACAGUCGUUAUUGCACUAGCUGGACCAUAGAGCCAGUAAGCCAUUCUAAUAUAUCCCCUUUCUAUAUAGAGAGAUUUAUUCUGUAAGUUCUGUUACUCUAGAGAACUAAUAUAAUACCUAAGGAUAACCCUGAACUCCUGACCCUCCUGCCUCAACCCCCUGAGUGUUAGGUUUACAGGCCUGUUCUGAACAAGCUAUAGGCAUCUGGGAAGAUGGUCCUGGGUGAUAUAAAAACAGGCAGCUGAGUGUGACCUGGAAGCAAGGCAGUAAGCAGCCUUCCUGCUCACUGCUUUAGCUCCUGCCCUGUCUUCCUUUCAUGAUGGACUGUAAUGUAUAAAAUGAAAUGAACCUUUUCCUUCCC
ensembl:processed_transcript Gm14634 predicted gene 14634